GCGAACGCUGGCGGCAUGGCUAAAGCAUGCAAGUCGAACGGUUAAGGCCCCUUCGGGGGUGAAUAAAGUGGCGAAAGGGCGAGGAAUACGUUCCUGACGUACCCCGAGGCCGGGGAUAGCCCGGGGAAACCCGGAGUAAUACCCGAUGGGGUUCGCCGCAAGGCGAAUCAAAGGUCUCGGCCGCCUUGGGAGCGGGGAACGUCCUAUCAGGUUGUUGGUGGGGUAAUGGCUCACCAAGCCGAAGACGGGUAGCGGGUGUGAGAGCACGGCCCGCCGCAUCGGGACUUAGACACUGCCCGGACUCCUACGGGAGGCUGCAGCAACGAAUCUUCCGCAAUGCGCGAAAGCGUGACGGAGCAAUGCCGCGUGCAGGAUGAAGCCCUUCGGGGUGUAAACUGCUGUCAGGGUUUAGCAACACAAUGAGCAGACCCAAAGGAAGGGCCGGCUGACUUCGU
rnacentral:rRNA from 1 species